rnacentral:rRNA from 1 species
GACGAACGCUGGCGGCGUGCCUAAUACAUGCAAGUCGAACGCACUCUCGUUUAGAUUGAAGGAGUUUGCUCCUGAUUGAUAAACAUUUGAGUGAGUGGCGGACGGGUGAGUAACACGUGGGUAACCUGCCCUAAAGUGGGGGAUAACAUUUGGAAACAGAUGCUAAUACCGCAUAAAACCUAACACCGCAUGGUGUAGGGUUGAAAGAUGGUUUCGGCUAUCACUUUAGGAUGGACCCGCGGUGCAUUAGUUAGUUGGUGAGGUAAAGGCUCACCAAGACCGGGAGGCAAGCCCACACUGGGGGGGAAAACGGCCAAAAGGGGAAUAAGAAACGGCCAAGACUCCAACGGGGGGAAGAGGUAGGGAAUCUUCAAAAAGGGACGAAAGUCUAAGGGAGCAACGCCGCGUGAGUGAAGAAGGUUUUGGGAUGGUAAAACUCUGUUGUGGGAGAAGAAUGUAUCUGAUAGUAACUGAUAAGGUAGUGACGGUAUCAAACCAGAAAGCAACGGCUAACUACG